CUCAUCCCCAAGCGUCGCUGGGUAAAUUCGCAGGAGACUUCCAGGCACCCACGCGUCGAUCAGCAGCGGCGCCAACAGCAUGCAAGCAAGUGCAACGUGGAGGACCCAGAGGCGACGGGAAUUGGAAUAAGAACUCUCCAAGCUCAUCCAAUUGCUCUUCCUUCCGCCAUCUUUUUCUUCCCCGAACCAAGCUCUCUGUUUCUCGCCGAUUUCGUCGCCUUCGCGCAUUCUUGGUUCGAUUCCUCGCACACACAUCACCAGCAGCCCUAUCUUGACCGAUUCGAAGAGUUUCUAGCCCUGCCAUCGACCACAGCCGCUAGCUCGCCAUCAUCUUCUUCCUCUGGCCACCAACGAGCAGAGAAGCUAGGUAGCCGGUACACUAGAUGCGCGACGUGUGGAACUAAAGGACAAAGUUGAAGCCGAGCUAGAAGAUGGUGUACUGGUGGGCCGAUCCAGAAGAUGGAGGUACCGACUUGAGUCAUGCUUGGGCCAGAGAUGCUAUCAAGCUGGAGCAACUGAAGGCCCGGCCCAAGGUCGGAAGGGCCCAAGGCCUUGUUUCUACUAACACUGACUUAGUGUUAAUCCCAGGCAAGCCCCGGAGCAUAACCCCUAAUUUGAGUAUUCAAUGUUUAUUUAAGUAUUUGUGCAUUUACGUUUUUAGGAGUUGUAUGGAACCCUAGUAUGCAUGUUUCUCCCUAGGUACCUAUGAGUCUAUAUUAGUAUACAAGUGUCGUUAGUAUUGCCAUGCUUAACUAGGAUCCGGUAGAAGUCGAGUGAUUGCUGUCACUCACGAGCUAUAGGUUUUUGUUAUUUAUGGAAAAGUGGCUUGAGAAUGAA